rnacentral:snRNA from 1 species
GUGCUCACUUCAGCAGCACAUAUACUAAAAAUUGGAACAAUACAGAGAAGAUUAGCAUGGCUCCUGCGCAAGGAUAACACGCAAAUUCAUGAAGCAUUCCAUAUUUUU